rnacentral:rRNA from 1 species
GACGGAGGGUGCUAGCGUUGUUCGGAAUUACUGGGCGUAAAGGGCGCGUAGGCGGCUGCUCAAGUCGGGUGUGAAAUCCCGGGGCUCAACCCCGGAACUGCAUCCGAUACUGCCAUGCUAGAGGAUUGGAGAGGUAGCUGGAAUUCUUGGUGUAGCAGUGAAAUGCGUAGAGAUCAAGAGGAACACUCGUGGCGAAAGCGAGCUACUGGACAAUUCCUGACGCUGAGGCUCGAAGGCUAGGGUAGCGAAAGGG